rnacentral:rRNA from 1 species
UAGUACGGCGAGUGAAGCGGCAACAGCUCAAAUUUGAAAUCUGGCUUAGGCCCGAGUUGUAAUUUGCAGAGGAUGCUUCUGGCGCGGUGCCUUCCGAGUUCCCUGGAACGGGACGCCACAGAGGGUGAGAGCCCCGUAUGGUCGGACACCAAGCCUGUGUGAAGCUCCUUCGACGAGUCGAGUAGUUUGGGAAUGCUGCUCUAAAUGGGAGGUAAAUCUCUUCUAAAGCUAAAUACCGGCCAGAGACCGAUAGCGCACAAGUAGAGUGAUCGAAAGAUGAAAAGCACCUUGAAAAGGGGGUUAAAUAGUACGUGAAAUUGUUGAAAGGGAAGCACUUAUGACCAGACUUGGGCCGGGCGGCUCAUCAGGGGUUCUCCCCUGUGCACUCCGCCCGGCACAGGCCAGCAUCGGUUCUCGUGGGGGGAUAAGACCGUCAGGAACGUAGCACCCUCCGGGGUGUGUUAUAGCCUGGCGGACGAUACCCCCGUGGGGACCGAGGUCCGCGCUCCGCAAGGAUGCUGGCGUAAUGGUCAUCAGUGACCCAUA